UACGAAGGGGGCUAGCGUUGUUCGGAAUUACUGGGCGUAAAGGGCGCGUAGGCGGCUGUGCAAGUCAGAUGUGAAAGCCCUGGGCUCAACCCAGGAUGUGCAUUUGAUACUGCGCGGCUAGAGUGUCGGAGAGGAUGGUGGAAUUCCCAGUGUAGAGGUGAAAUGCGUAGAGAUCUGGAGGAACACCGAUGGCGAAGGCAGCCUUCUGGGCCAACACUGACGCUCAUGCACGAAAGCGUGGGGAGCAAACAGG
rnacentral:rRNA from 1 species